GAUGAACGCUGGCGGCGUGCCUAAUACAUGCAAGUCGAGCGAAUGGAUUGAGAGCUUGCUCUUAUGAAGUUAGCGGCGGACGGGUGAGUAACACGUGGGUAACCUGCCCAUAAGACUGGGAUAACGCCGGGAAACCGGGGCUAAUACCGGAUAACAUUUUGAACCGCAUGGUUCGAAAUUGAAAGGCGGCUUCGGCUGUCACUUAUGGAUGGACCCGCGUCGCAUUAGCUAGUUGGGGAGGUAACGGCUCACCAAGGCAACGAUGCGUAGCCGACCUGAGAGGGUGAUCGGCCACACUGGGACUGAGACACGGCCCAGACUCCUACGGGAGGCAGCAGUAGGGAAUCUUCCGCAAUGGACGAAAGUCUGACGGAGCAACGCCGCGUGAGUGAUGAAGGCUUUCGGGUCGUAAAACUCUGUUGUUAGGGAAGAACAAGUGCUAGUUGAAUAAGCUGGCACCUUGACGGUACCUAACCAGAAAGCCACGGCUAACUACGUGCCAGCCGCCGCUGUAA
rnacentral:rRNA from 1 species